GAACACGGUGAACGUAGAAAUUUGAGCUACGUUUUGUUGCGACGAGCACACCUCGAAUCUAUCGCAUUCCAUCAAGAAGCUACUAAGGAACAAGUUCCUUGGUUGCAUACUUCGCGAAUCAGCAAUUCCGAGGGAGCACAAAUUUACGAUCUGUCGUAAGAAGUAUGUCUCUGCUAUUGAGUCAUUUGCAAUUUCUCUCGUUAACAAGGCGCCAGAAAUUAAAAACGUCGUGAGUAUUCAUUCGAUCGAACCUGCAAACUAUUCAUCCACAAUAGCAACAUACGUCUUCUUCGAUAGCUUCACGGAAUAUUAACAUCGUGGCUAUUUUAUGUAAAAUAACAACGUUGUCCAGUACACGUGGAAAUAUUUUUAUUCUGUGCAGCGUGGCGUCUCGUGGCGCGAUCGUUGCACCGUGAGCAAAACGGGAAGAUUUAUUAUUCAACAGGGUCUGGUUUUCUUUGUGGAUUGCGUGGAGAAGCUCGUGACGGGGCCAGUGUCCUCGUAAUCUCCGUAGCCCCGGUCACAGUCGAUUACGUCGCCACGACCUACGUGACCGUGUGCGGGCGUAAUAAGUAAAAGCGUCGCGAAUAACGUCGAUCAAUGUCACAGGCGUACUUGCGCGAAUCGAUCACUUGUCACGUUCAUCCGCGCGAACUUCGAUUCAUCGGGCUCGUUCACCGUUACGCAAGUUUCGGCGUUGCGACGCGCCGUGUAUUGUGUCUUUUACGCAAGAAAACCUCUACAUUUGUAUAUAGGGUGGCCCACACUUUUCUUUUCCGAAGUUCACACCUCGCCAGUGUUUUUUAGAAAAAUAUAGAAAAUGUCCAAAGUAUCGUAAUGAUCGUAAUAUCUACUAGGUGGGCCAAAUUUCCAUUUAGUUGUACUAGUAAAGAUAUAAACAUGUAUAAACAUUCACAGUCCGUCUAGAAUAUACAAGUACACUGUUACGUACAUAUGUAUACGAAAUUUCAUGAAAUAUUCUGAAUAAGCGUGAAAGCGUAAAGACGGUACUUCGUGUUCGAAAAAAUCUGUCAGUCGCGCACAGAUUUGUAACGCUUCUUGAAGCAGUUAAGAUAUCGGCAAAUGAUAAUCUCACUAGGAAAUUUAAAAAGCUGCUAUCUUCUUGUUUAAAUUCUUGACGACAUCGUCGCUAUAGUUGUUAUUUAUCUCUUGUUUUUACCGUUGCAGAUACGAUCGUUCGUAUCGAUCUAAUAUAUCGAUAGUAUGUUCCAAGUAUCUUUAAAUUCUCUGUCACGUCGACGAAACAAACGUAUAUACAUAGAAACGAACAAGAGUUACGAAAAAUGAGUUACCUGGAGAAAGAAAGUAGAGAGAUCCAAAAUGAGAAACACCCUGUAUAUGUUCACUUGUACGAUGGUGUACGACCUUCAACUACGUGACGCGUAACGGGCUAGACGAAUUGUGUUAUGUCUCGUUACGUUGCAUUUUUAUGCUUGUCAGCUGGUUUAUGAAUGGUUGAGAAUGCCGAGAAGAUUUGUUUCAGAUGUAAUAUGAUAAUGCUAAUAUAAUGAUAAUGCCGAGUUUGAAGUAGUAACGAGACUUUGAUGGAAAGAAAAUUGGAGGUUAUGUAACGGGAGAAAGGAAAUUUUAUUUCUACUUGUAACAAUAAUCAUUAAAUUGGACGAUCUUUGAAUUGGACGAAAUUGGAUGAUCUUUCCCGUGGAAAUACGAUUAUUAUAUAAAUAGAUACAAUUAUUAAAAGGAGAUUAUCGUGUAUUGAUCGUACUUAAAGAAACAAAUUAUUAUUCCCGAUGAUAUUAUUGCAAUGAUGGUUGUCGAAAAAUAAAAUUUCGAAAUACUGUCAAGAAUCAAAAUGAUAAGACAACAAAGAAUGAGAUUGUAAAGUAUUGUGGAAACAGGUAUAUAAAACGAGAACAGAAAACGAAGAAUAAAAGUCAUAAAAUACGGUCCAAGGAUAAAAUUAUCCAAUAUUAAUAAACAAUAAAUUUAUAAAAAUGAGCCGAGGAUAAAAUCGUUCGAUGUUUACGAAAAAGUGAAAUAUAGGAGAAAGGUAAAGUCGUCCGAUAUUGAUGAAUAAAAUUGUGAUACACGAACGAAGGAUAAAACGAUGAAAAGUUAAUGGAAAACAACAGUUUAUGUAAAAUAUUACCAAAGAAUGUAACGUGAUAAAAUUGAGAAAAUCACGAGGGUCAGGGAUAAUGAGAGCAGACAGCCCUUGGCCGAGUACAAUAGGGCUCAGGCAGUCUCGAUCGUGUCGGAUCAGUUACAUACCUGUUCGUACUGUCCAACUUUCACCGAAUAAGCCAGGGCUGCAGCCGCGGCCGUCAAAGUACCGCGCCCAAUGUCACGACGUGGUCCCUCGUAAUCGCGCCCCGUAUUACGUGUCUUGCUACACAAGAAACCGGUUCACUUUUGCCGGACCGGUUACAGAAAGAAUUCGACCAAAUGGACAAUGGAUCGCCCGCGGGCAAAACCCGAAUCCGUAUCCUUUUAUCGAUUUUUCAAUUAAACCGUGAAAUUACAUUGUUAAUAUUUCUUAUUUCAUAUUCAUUCAUAAUAUCGUAUUUGAAGAUUCUGCCUCGUAAUAUCCACAGUGGUCCGUGCGAGUAUUUGGACAUUUGUAGAAACUUCUCACUAAUGUAAUAUCGUACGAACCAUGUUUUAAUAUUUUGAAAUUUUACCAACACUAGGAAUUAGAUUAUAACGAUAACGUAUUGAUAUUGUUUCAGGUAAAUCGACCGAAGAGAACUUCUCACUGCAACCGGGGAUUCUCGAUGACUGAAUGAACGCGUAAUUCCGUUUGUGAGAAUCGUUUGAUGCUGCUGCGAGUUUUGCAAUGAAAGCUGUGGCCUGUCGUUUGAGCGAAAUUUAAACACUUGAUUUCCGAAAGUUCAAGGAUAACAUUAAUGUUCCUCGAGAGCGAUAUAUAAUAAGAUCACCGGUUUCUCGGUGGUUUUUGUUCCCGUGAACGUUUGAUGAUCAAGGUUCGGUAAUGAAUAAUGGAGGACUAAAGAAGCUGACAGUUACGUUAUAAUCGUUUGAACGGAGAAGGAUAUUAUGAAAUUUAAACCGAGUUUUAUUAAUUAUCGCUAAAACAUUCCAAUCUAUUCUGAAUAUUAAUUUACUAUUUCUAAAACAGAAGCUAAAAAAUGUAGGCCGUAGAGGAAGUACGGUCGAAGAUUUUUCUAAAAAUAUUUUUAAAUAAUCAAAAAUUACCAUUACGAUCAAAUUAACAUCGCAAUUAAGAUGGAAAUUCCCAACGAAUUUUCACUACAAAUAACAAAUCUCUACAAAUAAUUCUAUGUAUAUUUAUGCUUUUCUCGAAUCCGAAUUCUACCGAAUUCAGGGAUUGUUUCAGCGCAAUUCUUUCGAUAGAUUUAUUCGUAGAUAGAUUUGUUUUGUAAAACGAAUGUGAAAGCACGCGGUCCCGAUACCUCAUUGCGAGCAAUCAAUCGCCGAUUGAUAAUCGAGUCACGUAAACAGUAGAAGCAACUGCAGGUGCUAUCGUGACUGGGAUAUGCCUUUCUUCUAUGGAUUAAAAGGUUACAAGGCGUUUCUGCGGGCACGACAAUGAAAAAUGGAUGCGACUAUUACAAAAACCUGUGUCUCGUCGUUCUAAUGUAUUUUUCAUUAUUACGCAAUAAUUUAACCAUUAGAACCAAUUAAACUACGUAAUCGGUAUCUCAUUUAGCUAGCCGUACGCACGAAUCGUCAUAUAGAACUAUAAUCACGUAACACAUUCAAUUGCGAAACGAUUUGUUACAGUCCAUACUAACAAGCAUAUUAAACGUUUACUUUAUGAGUUACCGCUAGCGUGACAAUAUUAUUUUUUCGUAGAACUCAUAGGGUUCCCCAGAACUCUGACGUAACGUUAUAACGAAGCAAAUUAAUGAAAACAUUUUAUUAAUUAUCUCUUAAAUUAUUUCCCAAGUAUAUAUAUUGAUAUUCAGAGAAAUUUUGUUAAUUUUAAAUCUCUAUGGAACAGUUGUAGUUUUCCCUUUCUCCGUUCUUAAAUAAUUUUUCCCUUUUCUUUGUAUACCUAUAACCGGCGUAGAAUUUUUUUCGAAAGGUUCGAGAACUCAUUCGUCGCGCGUUCAUCGCCGAAAAACUUUAUCAUUCUGGUUCACUUUUUAUUACGCAAUCAUUUAAAUCGAGGCCGGGAAUUCAGACGCCUUUCUCCCUGGUAAUGGAUUCGCUUCGUGUGAUCCAGAUGAAUUUCGUAUAUGUACAUGAACUACCGAUUUUUCGUUAUCGCGUAAUUCUUCCCAGAAAUAAUUCAAAAUUUCCUUUUUCUUCCGAACUUUGCAAUAUCGCAUUAAUAUUUCACGCCGUUCCCCAAAAAUUAACGCAGCAGACUUUUAUGUUGCUUGAAAGAAUAAGAGAUCAGUGCUCUGCUCUGCUACGGUGAAAGACGAAGAAGGAGGAAGUAUGAAAGCAUUUGUCAAAAUAGAACACGUGUCGUGGCUUCAGCUAGUUUUCUCCGAACCAGUUUUCGCCACACCAGGAUGGGCGUGGAUCCUUCGCGAACGAGAUCUGCAGAACAAAAGUAGACAGUGCGUAGAAAUUUGACGGUAUUACGCGGUUUGUCUGACGUUCGCGAAACAGUACGAAAGUAGAGAAAGUGGGUCAGUCCUGGCGACCACCAGAAAUAGCUCGAUGAUCGAGCAACGCGAAAUUGAAACGCUACCCUGUACUCAAGGUUACGCGAUCGCGUUACUCUUCAUUCCAUGGAGCACGCGUCUACUACUCUUCCAUACAGAAUAAACAGGAUUCUACCGAAGGAUACUAAUCUAACUCUUUCUUGGUAUCCUCAUCGUUGCGUUACUCCAUGUCGAUGAUAACGUAGUUACUAAAGCAUAUACGUAUAGAUAUACAUACACAUACAUAAAUACGUGCGUUAAAUUAUUAAUUAUCAAAUUUCUAGUUGUUAAACGUCUAGUGACUGGGAUUAGAGAAACCAUAGGUAUCUUCAAUUAUACGAGCCAUUUGUCUUCCGACAGGUGGAAGUUCGAACGAGCGGAAUGCUACUGUAACGCAAAGUAAGCUGAAUAAUAGGAUAUUCGACAAGACACAGCAGAGGACCAAAUGAAAGAAGAAGAUGAAAGAAUAGAAAGUUCUAAAAUAUAACGAAUUACGCUACGAUAUUAUACUCUACGUAACAAUGAACAACGUUAUAAUACUACCAUAUACUAUACUAUACUACACUAACCAUAUACUGUAAUUUUGUCAGAGUAAAGUAUUUCGAAUAAUACACUUUAACCGAAA